CACACCCCAAUACAUGACUGUAAGUCAUUUCAUUCACCAUCAUAAGUUUUGUACUUCACCCCACCCUCUUACCAACUCCUUCAUCUUUCUCUCUCUAAAAAACAUCAAGAACACUUUUUUUCAAUUUUAUCAGAUUUGAACAAACUAUUUCUCAAAGACCUAGAUGUAGAUCUUAUACUCAUUCCUUUCUAUUGAAGCCACCAAAUCUGAGGAUCGAAGCAAUUAUCAAAGCUCUUCAAGAAAAGAAAGUAAGGUGUUGCUUCUGUUUUUAAAGAGAGAAACUGAUGUUUUGGAGAGAGAAACAACAAUAUUCAUCUUGUUCAUCUGGACACCAAGAACACACGCACAAAUGUGGUGAUUCUACUAGAUGGCACAUCCUGUUACUACAACCCGUAGCUACACAUGUUACAUUUUUUUACAGCUACAUAUGUAACGACCCUUUGUUAUAUAUGUUAAUGACCAGCUUGUUGGAAUA